rnacentral:rRNA from 1 species
GUCAUCAGCCAUACUACCUGCAGUUCAGACCAGGUAACUCACUGGAAGCAGGUUUUGGCCUGGCCAGUACCUGGAUGGGAGACUAGCAAGGAAAGCUGGAGUGCUGCUGGGA